rnacentral:rRNA from 1 species
CCUACGGGAGGCAGCAGUGAGGAAUAUUGGUCAAUGGGCGCGAGCCUGAACCAGCCAAGUCGCGUGAGGGAUGACGGUCCUACGGAUUGUAAACCUCUUUUGCCGGGGAGCAAGCGUCCGUUCGUGAACGCGCGUCGAGAGUACCCGGAGAAAAAGCAUCGGCUAACUCCGUGCCAGCAGCCGCGGUAAUACGGAGGAUGCGAGCGUUAUCCGGAUUUAUUGGGUUUAAAGGGUGCGCAGGCGGCAGCGGCAAGUCAGCGGUAAAAUUGCGGGGCUCAACCUCGCCGAGCCGUUGAAACUGCGCUUCUAGAGUGGGCGAGAAGUAUGCGGAAUGCGUGGUGUAGCGGUGAAAUGCAUAGAUAUCACGCAGAACUCCGAUUGCGAAGGCAGCAUACCGGCGCCCAACUGACGCUCAUGCACGAAAGCGUGGGUAUCGAACAGGAUUAGAUACCCGAGUAGUC